AUUUUCCGGUGUAAAACACAUUAGUUCAAACCAUAUCGAACUGAUAUAUAAGGAAAUUUUAUAAGUUUUCAAUCGACCACUAGAAAUGUUAGUCCUAAUAUUAGCGGUUCUUAGUUUGGCUGAGGGUUUCCCUGCUGCAAAUCAUGUUAAUUUAUAUUCCAACUUAAAUGAAUCCCGGGCAGUAUCUAGAACCUCACAUUAUGCACACAGACAUCCCUGUCCAGCAACUGACCCGUGGCUGCGUCCCUGGCCAGCACCUGGCUCAUGGUGUAGCUGGCAAGUAGCUCAGCAGUGGCUGUGUCUUCGGCCGACACCUGCCCUGUGGCCGUAUCCCUGGCCAACACCUGGAAACAUAAAGCCAUAUCCCUUUGGACCUCAGAACCCUGCUGAUGUACCAUGGGCACCACCAUAUCCCUGGGGACCUCAGAACCCUAAAGAUGAACCAUGGGCACCACCAUAUCCAUGGGGACCUGAGAACGCUAAUAAUGAACCAUGGGCACCACCACAUCCCUCAGUACCUCAGAACCCUACUGACGUACCAUGGGCACCACCAUAUCCCUGGGGACCUCAGAACCCUAAUAAUGAACCAUGGGUACCACCAUAUCCCUGGGGACCUCAGAACCCUAAUAAUGAACCAUGGGCACCACCAUAUCCCUGGGGUCCUCAGAACCCUAAUGAUGAACCAUGGGCGCCACCACAUCCCUCAGGACCUCAGAAUCCUGCUGACGUACCAUGGGCACCAGCAUAUCCCUGGGGACCUCAGAACCCUAAUAAUGAACCAUGGGCACCACCAUAUCCCUGGGGACCUCAGAACCCUAAUAAUGAAACAUGGGCACCACUAUAUCCCUGGGGUCCUCAGAACCCUAAUGAUGAACCAUGGGCACCACCACAUCCCUCGGGACCUCAGAAUCAUGCUGACGUACCAUGGGCACCACCAUAUCCCUGGGGACCUCAGAAUCCUACUGACGUACCAUGGGCACCAGCAUAUCCCUGGGGACCUCAGAACCCUAAUAAUGAACCAUGGGCAACACCAUAUCCCUGGGGUCCUCAGAACCCUAAUUAUGAACCAUGGGCACCACCACAUCCCUCAGGACCUCAGAACCCUACUGACAUACCAUGGGCACCACCAUAUCCCUGGGGACCUCAGAACCCUAAUAAUGAACCAUGGGCACCACCAGCACUGGGUCCCUGACAAUUCAAGCUGCUCUGCGUUACACGCGGUCAAAUCGAUACUGCGAGCUGAUACUGGGGUGCGCUAGACCAGAGAUGACAGCAAUACUCUAUGUUUGGCCGGACCUGCGCUUUGAAGAUCGCUAGAAUGUGGCGGCUUGAAGUAUCCCUGGGGACAGCUUCCAUGGCCACCGACCAUCACCAUAGAUAAACCGACGAUAUGUUGCACCUAUGACACUGGCUUGAGUAAAGUAGUAUAUAGGAGUGGAGAAGAAAAAACUUUCACAGAUGACCAGAAGGAUGUUC